GGCCCGGUAGCGGAUGGUCCGCACCUGCACUCACUAUGUAGGGAAAUCAAUGGUGGUUUGCAGGCACCGCUCGUUCGACUCGAGCCCGGGCCA